UCGGGAAUUUUGGGCAAUGGGGGAAACCCUGACCCAGCAACGCCGCGUGAAGGAUGAAGUAUUUCGGUAUGUAAACUUCGAAAGAAUAGGAAGAAUAAAUGACGGUACUAUUUAUAAGGUCCGGCUAACUACGUGCCAGCAGCCGCGGUAAUACGUAGGGACCAAGCGUUGUUCGGAUUUACUGGGCGUAAAGGGCGCGUAGGCGGCAUGACAAGUCACUUGUGAAAUCUCUGGGCUUAACCCAGAACGGCCAAGUGAUACUGUCGCGCUAGAGUGCAGAAGGGGCAAUCGGAAUUCUUGGUGUAGCGGUGAAAUGCGUAGAUAUCAAGAGGAACACCUGAGGUGAAGACGGGUUGCUGGGCUGACACUGACGCUGAGGCGCGAAAGCGUGGGGAGCAAACAGGAUUAGAUACCCAGGUAGUCCCUGAGCGGGCUGGCAAGGCGCAU
rnacentral:rRNA from 1 species